AACGCACAUUGCGCCCUCUGGUAUUCCGGGGGGCAUGCCUGUUCGAGCGUCAUUUCAAACCCUCAAGCCCUCUGGCUUGGUGUUGGGCGUCCGUCCGCCAAAGGACGCGCCUGAAACCCGUAGGCGGUCGCGCGCAGCUCCCCAGCGUAGUCAUAUAACAUCGCUCCGGAUCGUUGUGCGUGGCCCUGCCUCGCAACCACUUUUUUUACGAGUUUGACCUCGGAUCAGGUAGGGAUACCCGCUGAACUUAA
rnacentral:misc_RNA from 1 species